rnacentral:rRNA from 1 species
CGACGUAGGUAACCUGCCUGGUAGCGGGGGGUAACUAUUGGAAACGAUAGCUAAUACCGCAUAAGAACAUUUACUGCAUGGUAGAUGUUUAAAAGGUGCAAAUGCAUCACUACCAGAUGGACCUGCGUUGUAUUAGCUAGUAGGUGAGGUAACGGCUCACCUAGGCGACGAUACAUAGCCGACCUGAGAGGGUGAUCGGCCACACUGGGACUGAGACACGGCCCAG